CCUACGGGAGGCAGCAGUGAGGAAUAUUGGUCAAUGGACGAGAGUCUGAACCAGCCAAGUAGCGUGAAGGAUGACUGCCCUAUGGGUUGUAAACUUCUUUUAUAUGGGAAUAAAACGUUCCACGUGUGGGAUUUUGUAUGUACCAUAUGAAUAAGGAUCGGCUAACUCCGUGCCAGCAGCCGAGGUAAUACGGAGGAUCCGAGCGUUAUCCGGAUUUAUUGGGUUUAAAGGGAGCGUAGGUGGAUUGUUAAGUCAGUUGUGAAAGUUUGCGGCUCAAACGUAAAAUUGCAGUUGAAACUGGCAGUCUUGAGUACAGUAGAGGUGGGCGGAAUUCGUGGUGUAGCGGUGAAAUGCUUAGAUAUCACGAAGAACUCCGAUUGCGAAGGCAGUUCACUGGACUGCAACUGACACUGAGGCUCGAAAGUGUGGGUAUCAAACAGGAUUAGAUACCCUUGUAGUC
rnacentral:rRNA from 1 species